rnacentral:lncRNA from 1 species
AUUAAAUGCAACAACGUCAUAUCUCAAAAAAUCGAAUUUUUGAGUUAUGUGGUUUAACAGAAAGUAAAUUGUAUAAAGUUUACUUUGUUAGAUCGAUAUAUCUGUAACUUAACAAUUAACUGAGAGAUGGCGCCAAACGAUUGUAGUAUUUCUGCGACGAGGUCUAAAUUUUUACCGCAAGAGUGUUUUAUUUCAGUUGUGGUUUGUCAGUUGAAGUGGCACGUGCUUACGCUUUUGUUUAAAAACGUGUUAUUGUGUUUUAUGAGGAUAUUUCACUAAAGGCUUUCAACGUAAUAAUGUCCUAAAUUUCGCUUAAAAAAGAUUCAGCAGCUUUUAAAGCAGCAGCAAUCUACCAAUGAGGAUGCAUCGACCGAACAGUAUAUGUCUGACUACACAGUUUCUGUUUUUGAAUGUGAAAAUGGUACCCCAAAGAAUAUGCUCGACAAUGAUGAACAACAAAACAAACAA